GUGUCUAGAUGGCUGAAGGUGUUAAAUGAGUGUCUUGGUGUUUUAGUUGUGUGUCUAGAUGGCUGAAGGUGUUAAAUGAGUGUCUUGGUGUUUUAGUUGUGUGUCCAGAUGGCUGAAGGUGUUAAAUGAGUGUCUUGGUGUUUUAGUUGUGUGUCCAGAUGGCUGAAGGUGUUAAAUGAGUGUCUUGGUGUUUUAGUUGUGUGUCUAGAUGGCUGAAGGUGUUAAAUGAGUGUCUUGGUGUUUUAGUUGUGUAUCUAGAUGGCUGAAGGUGUUAAAUGAGUGUCUUGGUGUUUUAGUUGUGUGUCUAGAUGGCUGAAGGUGUUAAAUGAGUGUCUUGGUGUUUUAGUUGUGUGUCCAGAUGGCUGAAGGUGUUAAAUGAGUGUCUUGGUGUUUUAGUUGUGUGUCCAGAUGGCUGAAGGUGUUAAAUGAGUGUCUUGGUGUUUUAGUUGUGUGUCCAGAUGGCUGAAGGUGUUAAAUGAGUGUCUUGGUGUUUUAGUUGUGUGUCCAGAUGGCUGAAGGUGUUAAAUGAGUGUCUUGGUGUUUUAGUUGUGUAUCUAGAUGGCUGAAGGUGUUAAAUGAGUGUCUUGGUGUUUUAGUUGUGUGUCCAGAUGGCUGAAGGUGUUAAAUGAGUGUCUUGGUGUUUUAGUUGUGUGUCUAGAUGGCUGAAGGUGUUAAAUGAGUGUCUUGGUGUUUUAGUUGUGUGUCCAGAUGGCUGAAGGUGUUAAAUGAGUGUCUUGGUGUUUUAGUUGUGUGUCUAGAUGGCUGAAGGUGUUAAAUGAGUGUCUUGGUGUUUUAGUUGUGUGUCCAGAUGGCUGAAGGUGUUAAAUGAGUGUCUUGGUGUUUUAGUUGUGUG